AGCAGCGCCUCUCAGUAGCGCCUCCCAGCAGCGCGAACCGGUGAACCCAUCAACGACGUUCAGCCCCUCCCAACAGCGCGACCCGUCAAACGUAGCCCCUCCCAGCAGUGCCGGACCAGCCACCCAGCAGUGUAGGACCAGCCCCUUCCAUCCCCUCCCAGCGCCGAACACCAGAUAUAGAGCCUCCAAGUCAGUUGCUAUAAGGAAUUGAAAGUGUAAUUCCAUAUGGAAAGGAAGCUAAAAAUGAACCAACAAAGAUUGUUCAAGGAAAGUCUUUGAGGGUCCUUGUAUACGGAGAAGAUUGCUAUGGUUGUUGGGUCGGUGAUCUCUACUAUAAUGACAUUUUUGCAUAGGAAAUGAUGCUGAAGAAGGGUUUAGCAUGGCACUACUAAGCCUAUGAAAAAAGUCCAAAACUAGAAACACAAGAGCAGAGCCAGUUGGAUUAUGGGCCUCAAAGAAUCCAGAGAACCCUGUGCCUGGGUAUAUAUAUAACGAUCUCUACUAUAACGACAUUUUUGCACAGGAAAUGAUGCUGAAGAAGGGUCUAGCAUGGCACUACUAAGCCUAUGACAAAAGUCCAAAACUAGAAACAUGGGAAAACAAGCAAGAGCAGAGCCAGUUGGAUUAUGGGCCUCAAAGAAUUCAGAGAACCCUGUGCCUGGAUAUAUAUAUGGUAUAUGGUCUUUUAAUAAAUAAGGAAUUCAUUUUCUUAUGUGUUUGUGUUUUGCUGAAUUGUUAACACAUUAGUCACUUUAAACAGUAGAAUAUGUAGUUUUUUUUAUCUAUAACUGUGAAACAUUGGAUCAAGACCUUUGUUAGUUAUUGCGUAUUUGUGUUCUA